UGAGCGCCCACUUUGUCGACUUAGCGCUCAGAUCCCUUCGUUGGUUCGGGAACGCCAUUCGAAUGACGUUUUGACCAGUCGGCCACGAGGUGGUGCCCCAAAAUAGUUCCAUAGAAAACAAGACAACGACCGGUUAUGUUUCGGGAGUUGUCACAUAAACACAGACGAAUGCUCCCCCUGUUAGGGAGUGAACGCUCCCCCUGUUCGGUAGAUCCUAGGUCCUGAAUGCCGUUCGUCUAGUCGGUCGGGAAGUGGGACAGGCAGCGGGUACCAUCUUUGCCCGGGUUCACAGAGACACGAGGCCGAAAAUAGUUCCAGGCGUUCAACCAGGUACCUCUGCCUGCGUUCGGAAGACAAAAUGGGCUCCAUGCACUGGACCACGUUCGUUCGGUUAUACAAACAGUGCCCACCAAGGGAAAGCACUCACGUUAAUCACCAAUUUGUGGUUAACAGCCAGUGGAGAUCACGUUCGAAGGGUUAUAAAAGGGGGGACCACCAGGGAAUGGAGUUUGUUAGAGUGGUCUUAUACAUGAAGAGUGAUCCUCUUUUUCUUUGUUCCAGGGCAUGCAAAUGUUACAGUUUGUGCUGUAAUUUGAGUUUUUGCUAUUAAAGGACCACUAUAGUGCUAGGAAAACACUCGUUUUCCUGGCACUCUGGGGCCCGAUGCACAUCAACCUCUUCGCCUCCCGAUUAAAUUCACAACUUCCCUCUUUCUUCAGCUGGUGACCAGAUACAGACGCCAUGGCGGUGGACGCCUUCCUACAACCCUGGCCAAAUAGAUGGCUAUAUGCUUUUGCUCCCUUCUCUCUAAUAGAUCGGACCCUCCUACAUCUACAACGAUUCCGAGCAUCACUGGUUUUGAUAAGACCCUUCUGGACAGCACAGCCUUGGUUCCCUUCCCUCAUGGAAAUGUCUAUUGACCUCCCCAGACUAAUUCCGGUAUCCAC